CGGUGACGGAGGAGCUUGCUCUUCCUGAUCAGUGGCGAACGGGUGAGUAACACGUGGGCAACCUGCCCCUGACUUUGGGAUAACGCUUCGAAAGAGGUGCUAAUACCGGAUAUGAGCCUCCUUGGCAUCUGGGGGGCUGGAAAGUUUUUCGGUCAGGGAUGGGCCCGCGGCCUAUCAGCUUGUUGGUGAGGUAAUGGCUCACCAAGGCGACGACGGGUAGCCGGCCUGAGAGGGCGACCGGCCACACUGGGACUGAGACACGGCCCAGACUCC
rnacentral:rRNA from 1 species